rnacentral:rRNA from 1 species
ACUCAAAGGAAUAGACGGGGGCCCGCACAAGCGGUGGAGCAUGUGGUUUAAUUCGAUGCAACGCGAAGAACCUUACCAGCCCUUGACAUGUUAGGUUUCGACCCCGAGAGAUUGGGGUCUUCGGUUCGGCCGGGCCUAGCACAGGUGCUGCAUGGCUGUCGUCAGCUCGUGUCGUGAGAUGUUGGGUUAAGUCCCGCAACGAGCGCAACCCUCAUCUUCAGUUGCCAUCAGGUAAUGCUGGGCACUCUGAAGAAACUGCCGGUGACAAGCCGGAGGAAGGUGGGGAUGACGUCAAGUCCUCAUGGCCCUUACGGGCUGGGCUACACACGUGCUACAAUGACGGUGACAGUGGGAUGCGAUGGGGCAACCCGGAGCGAAUCUCCAAAAGCCGUCUCAGUUCGGAUUGCACUCUGCAACUCGGGUGCAUGAAGUUGGAAUCGCUAGUAAUCGUGGAUCAGCAUGCCACGGUGAAUACGUUCCCGGGCCUUGUACACACCGCCCGU